rnacentral:rRNA from 1 species
GAUGAACGCUGGCGGCGUGCCUAAUACAUGCAAGUCGAGCGAACAGACGAGGAGCUUGCUCCUCUGACGUUAGCGGCGGACGGGUGAGUAACACGUGGAUAACCUACCUAUAAGACUGGGAUAACUUCGGGAAACCGGAGCUAAUACCGGAUAAUAUAUUGAACCGCAUGGUUCAAUAGUGAAAGACGGUUUUGCUGUCACUUAUAGAUGGAUCCGCGCCGCAUUAGCUAGUUGGUAAGGUAACGGCUUACCAAGGCAACGAUGCGUAGCCGACCUGAGAGGGUGAUCGGCCACACUGGAACUGAGACACGGUCCAGACUCCUACGGGAGGCAGCAGUAGGGAAUCUUCCGCAAUGGGCGAAAGCCUGACGGAGCAACUCCGCGUGAGUGAUGAAGGUCUUCGGAUCGUAAAACUCUGUUAUUAGGGAAGAACAAAUGUGUAAGUAACUAUGCACGUCUUGACGGUACCUAAUCAGAAAGCCACGGCUAACUACGUG